rnacentral:lncRNA from 1 species
AAGGUACUGAAGUAGAGUUCUGGCUGUUCCUUACGGACAUCUCUGGUGAAUAAUCUGAGAAGGCCUCACUUAUAAUUUGGCUUGAAGAAAACACGAGAGCAAGUCAUGCAAUGUUCAAGUAAGAGUGCAGCAGUCAGAAGAAAAAGCUAUGCAAGGGCCCUAAGGUUGAAAGUGUUCUUAGUGUCUUUGAGAAACAUCAAGGAAUGUGCAAAAGGCAGAAUGAUAGAAGAUGAGAUCAGAGAGGGGAAGUAAAUUCAACAACAGAAAUUGAGGAUGAGGAACAUGGUGUUGCAGUUCAAACCAGUUCCAGCCAAAAUGGACUCUAGUCACAAACAAAUAGUAAUAACAAUCCAAACUUGUGGCUGAAUAGAGUUCUGAAGUUUUGAGAAAGAGGUAUGAUACACAACACAAGUAUAAGGAUAUAGUCAAUAAUAACUCUGGGAGUAAGAACACAUUAUGAACAGUGAAGACAUUGACAAACCUCCGGGACCUUUGAUUUGUGCUAUAAAGUAUACUAUGAUCAGCCCUGAUUAACACACAAGAGAAAACUAGAAGAUAGGUAACCAAGAUCAAUAAAACUAUUUUUAUGAGCAUAUAUGUUAUUUUACUUAAAUAAAUUUUAAGAUGGCAAA